rnacentral:rRNA from 1 species
CUGAAGAGUUUGAUCAUGGCUCAGAUUGAACGCUGGCGGCAGGCUUAACACAUGCAAGUCGAGCGGUAACAGGGGGUGCUUGCACCCCGCUGACGAGCGGCGGACGGGUGAGUAAUGCAUAGGAAACUGCCCAGUAGUGGGGGAUAGCCCGGGGAAACCCGGAUUAAUACCGCGUACGCCCUUCGGGGGAAAGCAGGGGAUCUUCGGACCUUGCGCUAUUGGAUGUGCCUAUGUCGGAUUAGCUAGUUGGUGGGGUAAAGGCCUACCAAGGCGACGAUCCGUAGCUGGUCUGAGAGGAUGAUCAGCCACACUGGGACUGAGACACGGCCCAGACUCCUACGGGAGGCAGCAGUGGGGAAUAUUGGACAAUGGGCGCAAGCCUGAUCCAGCCAUUCCGCGUGCAGGAUGAAGGCCCUCGGGUUGUAAACUGCUUUUGUACGGAACGAAAAGGCUUCUUCUAAUACAGGGAGCUCAUGACGGUACCGUAAGAAUAAGCACCGGCUAACUACGUGCCAG